UUCUAGUUCUAGUUCCAGCGCCAGUGUGCUAGGUAGAUUUUCAGUUAGUAAAGUAACUAGUAACUCGUGAAAGCCUUUGAGCAAAAGUAAUAAAAAUAUAAAGUCAGUGCUUGUGCAGCUGAAGGAAAGACGAACUACGGGUUCGACAUAAAGUACGGAAGAGUACUAAAAGAGUAAACUUUGAGGACAGGAAAGAAAACAUAAUUUCUUCAAAGAAAGAAAUAUAUUAUAUCACAGACCAAAUCUGAAUUUGGCUCUCGCGAAAAGGGAGGAAUAAGAUUUUAAUAUCAAGGAAAACCGACUGCAACGUCCAAACUAGAGACGGCAGCUCCGCGAUUUUUCCAGUGACCACCUGUGGAGCAAACCACAUUAAUAAAACUGGUGACAGCGCCCUAAAAUAUCCACAUUAAUAGUCAUCAAGAAACGGGUAACCAUCGUCUCGACGACAAGGGCCUCUUGUUCCUGAAGACGUAUUGUACGCUGGCACGAACCACUGUAACGUCCCGCUAAAUUUUAUAUAAAUAUAUUAACCAAAGCUAAUUAUGAAAAUUUUCAAAAAAUCUUAAGAUUAGAUUUUUGCAGUCAUAAUUCUUGUAAAAUAAUGUGAUUAUUAUCAAAACCAUCAUUUAUUCUUUUUACGACUUACGCAUAUUAAAUUUACUAAAAUAUAUAUUCAAUUAAAAUUCAGACAAUACUCGUUCAGAGGAGAAACGCUUACAUAAAACUAGAACGCUCAUUUGCAACAGGCAUAAAACCCUAAAACUCAUCGACUUAUCAAAGAAAAUUGAAAAGGGAAAUACAUAAAGAACAAUCAGUAACUAUAUGUCAAUCAGCCGAUAAAUCAAUAAGAGGAAGACAUUGAAAUAAAGUAUAUUGAAAAGGAUCACACUUGACUAAAACAGCGAUUAAAUUAUUUAGGAAUUUACUCGGCAUCAAUAGUCAAAUUAAUAGUACAUAUUAGUCGGUGGCGAGAAACGCUGACGAAUAUUUGCUAAGUAAAGUAGCUGUGAGUAUCAGUCAGUGGCGAGAAACGCUGAAAGAUAUUUACGAGUCAGUGGCGAGAAACGCUGGCAAGUUACUAAUCAACGGAUGAGUGGCAGGCAUUCGUAAUCUAUCGUUGAGUGGCAGGCAUCGAUAAGACCGAAUAUCAAUUAGUGGCGAGAAACACUAAAAGGUAUUUGGUUACAAAAGUUGAGUAUCAAUCGGUGGCGACAAACACCGACAGAUAUUCACAUAUUGGGCCCGAGGCCUCUAUAAUUACUUUUGUUAAAGAAAUAAUAAAAGGAAAUAUAAGAAAUAAUAAUUGGGCCCGAGGCCUCUAUAAUAAAAUAAGAAGUAGCUAAGGACGGAAGAAAUAAUAAUUAAAAGAAAGGAUAAAAGCUAAGGAAAAUAAGGUGGGGAUGACACACAUAAACUCACUCCACUUGAAGGCCACUAUGGCAGGAAAUAUAAUUUAUAAAAGAUAAGAGCGAGAGGAAAAGAUAAUAUAAAACUCGUCAGGAGAUAUCUAGAACUGACGCAUUUACUCAUUCCAUUCGCAAGCCGCCAAAGGAGCAAGAGGCGACACGAUGGCGAGACAUAUGAAGAGAUAAUAGGAGGAAAGUUAUUAGAAGGUGACGUAGGAGGCGACGCGAUGGCGACUCACCAUCCCACUCCACUCGCCUAUCAUCAGAGAUAAUAUGUAUUUCAAGAGAUAAAGAUAAGACGAGGAAAGUUAUUAGAAGAUAACUUUAUCAAGAGAUAAGGAUAAGACGAGGAAAGUUAUUAGAAGAUAAACUUAUCAAAGCUGAUAAAGAUAACAGCAAGAGGAUAAGAUAUGACAGGGAAAGUACCGAGGAAGAUAAGAACAUGCAGUCAUCGGAGGCGGUGCAAGUGCCCCUACCAGUGACUCGCGAGAUAGCAAUUGCUUAUGUAACUAAUAUCGAGAUAAGACGAUAGGAGCCCCUUCCAACAUUCUCCAUCCGCUCAUUGGAGAAUCUCAACGAGGACAGAGGCGGAGAUACUCCCAUCACUGAAAUUAUAAUCCAAUCAUCAUGAGCCAAGCGUAACACCCCUCCACUGAACGAGUGGGCAAAAGCCCAUAUAUACGCGUGCCCCGGCACAUUUCAGACAGUGCUAGGUAAAUCUUCAAACAGUAAAGUAAAGUAACUAGUAACUCGUGAAGUCAGAAUACUUGUGAAUAGUAAAAGUAUUAGAGUCAGUGCUUGUGCUACUGAAAAGAGGAAAAGAAAUUAACAUAAAGUACGGAAGGGUACUUAAGAAACGAUUUUGAAAAGAGAACAUAAUUUCUUCAAAGAAGGAAUUAUAUAUUAUCUAAGAGCAAAUAAAUUUGGCUCUUACAAAGAAGAAAAACAUAACCGAUAUCAAGACAAGAACCGAACAACAAAUUCAGGAAAUAUUUAACGGAGAACCAGCUGUAAUAGCAAUAGCACAAUUGACGUCUGCUAUCCAAUAAGUGCUAACUUGAGGAUCUCCACGGAUCGAUGGCCGACAACAGAUGUUCACUGUGUCAACCAGUGAAAUCAUUACUGAAGCAACAGGCGAAAUGUCAACGAGAAUUCUCAUAUAUAUUAAGAAGAACUGGGAAGGAAAUUUGUGGAAGUUGUAAAGAAAGAUACCAUCAAAACAAAUCUACCCAACCAAAUCAGUUUCACCUGCUAACCUUAUCGUACAAAACGCUUAUAAAACGUUGUGAAACUUGUACUACUGUAUUGAAUGAUACAUAUUCAUUCUCCGAAUGCUUCUUAUGCAAGAGUCUAUUCGACCAACACACGAGAAACAAGGGUGAUACUCAAUUAAGAAUCACCUACGAAGAAUUGAAGGAACAUCCGAUUUUGAUAACUAGAUACAAUAAUAGGACAAUAUCAAUGUCUGAUCAUUAUAGCGAAUCGUAUCUAAAGUUAGAGUCCUUAAGAGAUAGCAUUAGAUUAUUAAUCUAAGUUUUUCAUGUUUAUACUUAAAAUAAGUUUCCAUAUUAUUCUUGCCAUGAAAGGAACGAAAUAAAU